rnacentral:rRNA from 1 species
AACGAACGCUGGCGGCGUGGAUAAGACAUGCAAGUCGAACGGGAUUACUUCGAGUAGCAAUACCUGAAGUAAUUUAGUGGCGAACGGGUGCGUAACACGUGGGGAAUCUGCCGAGAAGUGGGGGAUAGCUCGUCGAAAGGCGAAUUAAUACCGCAUAUGAUCAGGGAAGACAUCUUUCCAACAUCAAAGCCGGGGCAACCUGGCGCUUCUUGAUGACCCCGCGGCCUAUCAGCUAGUUGGUGAGGUAACGGCCCACCAAGGCGAUGACGGUAGCUGGUCUGAGAGGACGACCAGUCACACUGGAACUGAGACACGGUCCAGACACCUACGGGUGGCAGCAGUCGAGAAUUUUUCUCAAU